AGAGUUUGAUCCUGGCUCAGAUUGAACGCUGGCGGAAUGCUUUACACAUGCAAGUCGAACGGCAGCACGGGGCAACCUGGUGGCGAGUGGCGAACGGGUGAGUAAUACAUCGGAACGUGCCCAAUCGUGGGGGAUAACGUAGCGAAAGUUACGCUAAUACCGCAUACGAUCUACGGAUGAAAGCGGGGGAUCGCAAGACCUCGCGCGAGUGGAGCGGCCGAUGUCAGAUUAGGUAGUUGGUGGGGUAAAGGCUCACCAAGCCAACGAUCUGUAGCUGGUCUGAGAGGACGACCAGCCACACUGGAACUGAGACACGGUCCAGACUCCUACGGGAGGCAGCAGUGGGGAAUUUUGGACAAUGGGCGCAAGCCUGAUCCAGCCAUUCCGCGUGCAGGAUGAAGGCCUUCGGGUUGUAAACUGCUUUUGUACGGAACGGAACGGCGAGCUCUAAUACAGUUUGCUAAUGACGGUACCGUAAGAAUAAGCACCGGCUAACUACGUG
rnacentral:rRNA from 1 species